GAUGAACGCUGGCGGCGUGCCUAAUACAUGCAAGUCGAGCGAACGGACGAGAAGCUUGCUUCUCUGAUGUUAGCGGCGGACGGGUGAGUAACACGUGGAUAACCUACCUAUAAGACUGGGAUAACUUCGGGAAACCGGAGCUAGUACCGGAUAAUAUUUUGAACCGCAUGGUUCAAAAGUAAAAGACGGUCUUGCUGUCACUUAUAGAUGGAUCCGCGCUGCAUUAGCUAGUUGGUAAGGUAACGGCUUACCAAGGCAACGAUGCAUAGCCGACCUGAGAGGGUGAUCGGCCACACUGGAACUGAGACACGGUCCAGACUCCUACGGGAGGCAGCAGUAGGGAAUCUUCCGCAAUGGGCGAAAGCCUGACGGAGCAACGCCGCGUGAGUGAUGAAGGUCUUCGGAUCGUAAAACUCUGUUAUUAGGGAAGAACAUAUGUGUAAGUAACUGUGCACAUCUUGACGGUACCUAAUCAGAAAGCCACGGCUAACUACGUG
rnacentral:rRNA from 1 species